rnacentral:lncRNA from 1 species
UUGAAGUACUUCUUUCUUGCUUUAUUUGAUAUGUAUGAAAAUGAAUUAGUUGGGUCCAACGCCCCUAAGACAACACGCCUUAAUGUGUUUAAACGCGUAACUAAAAUCAAUCUUCAUUCCUAGACCGAGAUUCAACACAAGGCUCGUGUUGAAUCUAAACAAAGGUUCAUAAUCAUCCUAAGGCCCUAUGGCAACUAUAUAGUCCAUCAAAUGAAUGCAAAGUUUAUGUUAGUAGUAUCAUAUACUCUUGCUUUAAAAAUCGUUUUAUAAGCAUAGUGGGAGUAUUAUAUACAACUAAAACAAUCAAAUGGACCAAUAGUUGUAAGAGGACCAAAAUUGUUUUAAUAGAGAUUAAAAUGAAUAUUUAUAUGUGAUGAGACCUAAAACCCUCAACCAAAUCAUUAUUAAGUUGAUAAGCGUGAGAGUGCUUUGAACACUCUUUCGUGGCCUUCCACCGUGGUAGGCUUCAAUCGUGUGUGACUCAUACACCGUAUUCGUCCAAUUCUGGGGUUGCAAAGUAUGUGCUUACAUUCAGGAGAAGCCUAUACACAUAUGAUGAAGUGAAAGGUAGGCAACGAGUGUGGCCAAUAUGGAGUUCUUCUGAGGCCAUUCUUGAACCCCUACUUGAACUAGCAUGGUGGGAAUGACUUAACUAAGUGCAAUGGUGCCAAUAUGGAGUUCUUCAGAGGCAUCAUUCUCUAGAGGCCAAACGAGAUGGGUACUUGCAUUAGUUGCAAAUGAGUAAGCGUACUCUCUCAUUAUUAUUGUUGCUAGCCAAUAUGGAGUUCUUCUGAGGUGGGCUUGGUAAUAGUGAGUCUCCCAUAACCUACUAAGAGUUUCAUCCAAAACUCUCGAAUUCCAAUGAGGGAUAUGGAAUUUGCCAAAAAUAGUGGGUGGUGCUAUUUGAUUUAAAGACCCGAAUCAAAUGGCUUAAAAUCAAUCAAUCUAUAUUCGUUAUGUAUUUGUUUACCAAUAUAUUUGCAAACGCUAUCCAACACUUGACAAAACCGAAUGUUUUAGUUUCCGGACUUGGUACCACAAUCCCAAAGAAUGUCUUGCAUGGAUUGUAUAUGUACCUAAGUAGUCUCAUCCUCACAAUCUUCCUAAUGAUAAUGUAUCAUUGGAAGAACAUGUUAGAAAGGUCUAUCAUGAAGAGGACAACACAAACAACCAAUGCUUAAUCCUUUGUUAAAUGAACAAAGGAACUUACGAAGAUUGGCAUAAUGACAAGGACACUUUUAGUGUUAUUAGUUCUUCACUUACAAAUCGUUGUAUGAAGAAAUAAUAGUUGCUUUGAACAACCCUUAGUCAAUGCAAACACUAGUGCUUGUUUCUUUGUUAAAUGAACAAAGAACUUGAGAAGAAAGCACAAAGGCAUGGACACUUAAUAUGCCAUGAUUCUUCACUUGCAAAUUGUUGUAUGAAGAAAUGAGAGUUGCCUUGUACAACUCUUGAAGGUUUGUAAUUAUGUUUAGAACAUAAUGGUUGGUUGACAAAAAUAGUCCAUUAACAUGGACUUAUAAUGAUUUUGAAUCAUUGAGUGUUGAAAGUGAUAAACCACUUAACGAGACGGAAACUAGGCAAGGACUUCACCUUUGUGUUCCUUAUCCUAAUCAUUCACUAAGUUUAUUGUAAACUAUGUAGUGAAAAAUAAACCACAUGCUCUCCAAAAUUGUUUGAUGUGUUUAACACAAUUGAAAAAGGUUUCAAGAGAGAUAGUGGGAGUUUAGGGACCGUGACUAAUGUAGUCAAAGGUGAAAGUCAAAUAAAGAAGAUAAAUAACUCCAAGGGAACAAACUUUCUUUAUGAAAGGAUGGAUAUUGGAAGGGGUAUUUGCAAGAAAUGUCUUGCAAGUGUCAAGAACACACCUUUUGAAGGUGUUGUAAAUUGUUCUUGAAUAGUUCAAAACAGUUGGUUCUUCUACUUGAAUACUUGAUUCCGUAUUAGUAACUAUGUUUUACAAUCGUUGUAAAAGUGUGGCUAAUAAGAAGUAGAAGAUAUAUGAGUGAAGAAAAGGUGCUUCACAUUCGGAAACGUGAAUCA